AUACGUAGGUGGCGAGCGUUGUUCGGAUUUAUUGGGCGUAAAGGGUCUGUAGGAGGUUCGUUAAAUGUGGGGUGAAAUCCGGGAGCUCAACUCCCGAACUGCCCUGUAGACUGAUGAACUUGAGUAUUGGAGAGGUAAGCGGAAUACCAAGUGUAGCGGUGGAAUGCGUAGAUAUUUGGUAGAACACCAAGAGCGAAGGCAGCUUGCUGGACAAAUACUGACUCUGAGAGACGAAAGCGUGGGGAGCAAACAGGAUUAGAUACCCUGGUAGUCCACGCCGUAAACGUUGUCAACUUGAUGUGGGGGGAUUUAGUCCCCUCCGUAUCGAAGCUAACGCGAUAAGUUGACCGCCUGGGGACUACGGCCGCAAGGCUAAA
rnacentral:rRNA from 1 species